UAGAGGAGAAAGGAAACUCACUCUUGGGCUGAUGCCCACGCUGGGAAAGUUCUGGCCGACUCUCCGCGGCGUAGGCAUCUUGGUCCUCUUUUUACAGGCCCUGGACUAGGCUCUGGAGAGACAGCCAUGAACAAGACACACACUCAAGGAGAAAAGACACAUAAGGAAGUGGUGCCCAACUGAACUUGAGCCAGCAGAGGCUGGAAAGAUGGAGAAGAGGAGAGAUGAGUAACCAGGAGAGAGCCAAUGAGAUGGGCUGGCAGCACCGGAUGAUCUGUGGGGCCAUGGGAAGGAGGGGAGAGGAAGGCCGACUCAGCAUCUUCAGCUGUUCCCUGGACCUCCCUGCCAUCUAGAUGCAUCCGCUAGAGGAUGUGCUGCUGGCUCAGGAGAGAUGUGAGAGGUAGAGGCUAAAGAAGCUGAGCUUGAAAGCUCCACUGACCCAGGGAUGUGGAGAUCCCACUUUGCCCUUUCAGGACCUAAAUCUUCGGAUGCUGACCAUUCCCACUCACAAUACCCAUAGCUGGGAAUUUUUCUCUUUGGCUGGUAGUGGUGGAGGGAGUCUGUCGCUGCCUUCCAUGGAAUCAAGUCUUAGAUAACCCUUCUCUCCAUUCCCUCCACACCACCGCUCCCUUGGCGCAUGUUCUAUUCAGAAGCAGUAUCUGCUUUGUUUUUUUUGUUUUGUUGUUUUGUUUUGUUUUUUGCU